UGAGUUUAGAAUCUUAUUAAACAUUAAAAACAGUACAAGUGAAAAAGUUUAUAAUCAGGCUAUUCAAAAACAGAAAUCUGUUUUGCUUCCAUCUUGAAACUCAUGAUCCUCCAAACAAUUUAACAAACUUAUUUUGCUAUAAACUUCACACCUUUAAGGAUCAUCCAACAGAUUUAGCUACAAGUUACUCUCAUCUUGAAUUAACUUACAAAACCCAGUUACAUAACUUCUAAUCACAUAAUUUCCUUCACUGAUUUUUAUGAAUAAAAAUCCAAUAAUAUCAGCAAUGAAAGAAGCACAAUUUAGCAUGAACAGACCACAAAAUUCUCUGUUUUGCCUCAACCAGUUGAAGCUCAUAAGUUAUAACUA
rnacentral:misc_RNA from 1 species